rnacentral:rRNA from 1 species
AGUGAACGCUGGCGGUAGGCCUAACACAUGCAAGUCGAACGGCAGCACAGUAAGAGCUUGCUCUUACGGGUGGCGAGUGGCGGACGGGUGAGGAAUACAUCGGAAUCUACUUUUUCGUGGGGGAUAACGUAGGGAAACUUACGCUAAUACCGCAUACGACCUACGGGUGAAAGCAGGGGAUCUUCGGACCUUGCGCGAUUGAAUGAGCCGAUGUCGGAUUAGCUAGUUGGCUGGGUAAAGGCCCACCAGGGCGACGAUCCGUAGCUGGUCUGAGAGGAUGAUCAGCCACACUGGAACUGAGACACGGUCCAGACUCCUACGGGAGGCAGCAGUGGGGAAUAUUGGACAAUGGGCGCAAGCCUGAUCCAGCCAUACCGCGUGGGUGAAGAAGGCCUUCGGGUUGUAAAGCCCUUUUGUUGGGAAAGAAAAGCAGCAGGUUAAUACCCCGCUGUUCUGACGGUACCCAAAGAAUAAGCACCGGCUAACUUCGUG